ACGAAAACAGUUUAUUGAAAAAAAAGAAGCUAUUGCAUGAUUUUCAUUUUUUCCCAUCCUAUUUUUUCACAAAAUCCUCCAAAAAUUUAAAAAAUAUAUAACAAAAAUUUAAAAAAUCUAUGACAAAAAUAUUUCACUGAGUCAACAAACACCAACUCAAUCUCAGUCGACAAACACCAGUACUGUGAGCCGACUUGACUGCCGACUACCGACUACCGCUCCGACUCUCGCUCCGACCACCACUCCGAAUACCGCUCCGAUUUACAAUAAACCAAUAUAUUGCUUCCUAGUAGUAAGUUGAUUCAUAAUAGAUUUAGCAGAGCAGAUAGAUCUAGUAGCUGAAUCCUAAUAGGUACAAAGACAUUCUGUAGCGGUGGUGAUCAGGCAUUGAGACGUAAGGAUGGUUAUGCUGAUUUUGAAAGCUUUGGUCGCCUCAAUGUUUUAGAUUUACAGCUAGAGUGCAAAUUCGCCGUCUACCAAAACCAGUAAUUGCAAUGGUUGCAGGUUAUGCUGUUGGGGGUGGACACAUUUUGCAUAUAAUUUGGGAUCUAACAAUUGCAGCAGACAAUGCUAUAUUUGGUCAGACAGGCCCAAAGGUAGGAAGUUUUGAUGCCGGUUAUGCAAGUUCAAUUAUGUCCCAUUUGUUGGACCAAAAAAAGCUCGUGAAAUAUGGUUUUUGACAAGGUUCUACACAGCCUCCGAAGCAGAGAAAAUGGGACUUGUGAAUACUGUUGUUUCAGUACUAAGAAGCAGCUAUCGAGAGGAGAGAAACAACUUCUCGAAUGGUAUGCAGAGAAAGGCAUAACGUUGAUCCUGAGUACCUACAUAGUAAAAGCAGAUCGUACUUCAAAGACUUGUUAGUGUAGCCAGGGAAUAUUUUAAAUAUCAAAAACUUGUUAUUGCAACUAGAUCCACUGUUUUGAUGUUGUCAGAUUUUGAUGUACAAGGUGCCGAUUCCAAGAACAUCUUCUACUUGAGAGAAAUCAAUGACCACUGAUAAGAUUGUGGAAGCAUUAAAAGCUAACAAAAAUGCAAAGGUCGUAGUUGUUGGAGGAGGGUACAUCGGUCUCGAGCUUACUGCUGUACUGAGACUGAACAAUAUUGAAGUCGAUAUGGUUUAUCCAGAACCGUGGUGCAGCGAAGUCUGUCAAACUUAAAGACGAUAGAGUUUUGAAAGCUGCCAUAGUAGUCGUAGGAGUCGGAGCAAUACCACUCACCGAUCUAUUCGAAGGGCAAGUUGAAACUGAGAAAAGAGGAAUUAAGAUGUGUGCUCACUUCUCACUGUUUAGUGGUGCCUACAAGUUAUCUGAUCAAAUAUGCUUGUGACUUCUUUCAAUCAUGCUCAUUUGGUUUUCUCGAAUAAGCUGGUGUUGUAUGAUCUUAAAAAGCAGGCCAUUGGUUGAACUGAGUACAACUAUCAGAGUUGAACAAUCAAGAAUCAAGAAGGGUGUUCAAGAAAUCACCACAAAGUUAAGAGCUUUUUUUCAGAUGGAUCACUAGCAGCUUUACGAACAAAUCGAUACUAGAACAAAGGAAGAAGAAGAAGAAUACAGGCUAUGUAAAUGACAGAUUGUUUUGUGAUGUGUGUAUAUAUUUAUAAUUGUAUAUUAUAAUUUAUUAUAUAUGUAAAAACUAAUUUACAAUAGGGGUGACUUUCAUCUAAA